UUAAAAUUGUCGAGUAAAGUCACAAUAUUUAUUUUGCAUAAAAAUCCGCAGUCUCCUAAUCAUUUAUUCCUCUCUAUUCUUUACGAUAAUUAACGUAGUCUAUUUUUGACGAAUUCGCGAUACAGCUAGGAACCGAAAGUACCGUUUACUUAAUUGCGCCGAUCAUGCUAAUUGCAAACCAGCCGAUACAGUUCCGUUAAGGACUGAUUGGAAAACGUCUACGAAAAUCCUUAGCGAACAACCAAUUAAUUCGACAAGGUUAUCGCGUAGCAGUCUCGCGAUAAAUUUUCAUGCAAAGUUGUCGAGAAAAUCGGCCUUGAACGGCUAAUUGAGUGCAAUUCUAUUGUGAUUCCGAUUUUUCUUUUCUUUUUUUUUUUAGGAACCCAGUGAUUGUCUGAACUGCUUUUUUGCGUUCAUAUAUUCAUGAUUCACGGGGCAGAUCGCAACGAAUCUGUGUGCACGGCGAUUGCCGAUCUGAUUAUCCUUUUGUGAAAGUCAUAUUUUCAGGGAGCGUCGUUUGCAAUAUCAGCGACCUCGCAAUAUUUAAUAAUUGAAAGAUAUUCGACAACUUUCAGAGACUGGAAAAUAAUUCGACGACCGAAGCAGUUUUACUUAAUCAUUGUCAACCAAACUCUUCAAUCUGUGGUCACUCGAAACACAGAAAUUGGGACAGCCACGGAAAUUGGGAGGAGCACGAAAAUUGGGACAAUCGCGGAAUCUCUAAAAUUCCCGGCUUCGAUCCGGAGACACGGAAAUUGGGACAGCCACGGAAAUUUGGACGGGCACGGAAACUGAGACGUCUGCCAAAUGUGCAAGACGUUCGUCGAUUAGAAAAAUCUUGCGACGAGAACAGAGAGGAAAGGAACGAUCGUGCACCGGAAGCCUUAAUUACAAUACGUAUUUAUCUGUCGAUAAGAACGAGCGAUGGAUAAUUACGAGAACGAUUUCAAUUAGCUACUUUCCUGUGACGGCAGCCCAGAGAUUAUUGUUUCAUAUGUAAACACAUGACCUCAUAAAUUUCCUUUUCGCUCGCAUUAUCGUGGUUUGUCGAUUGCGGUUUGCAAUUACUGCUAAUUCCGCGACGAUAAUUGAUACGAAAACCGCAAACAGCUCCUUGGGAAAAUACUUCGGCGUAUUGACAAACAGAAAAUGUUAUUGUGUAACGAAUUGUGCACGCAGGGAAAAAAAAUCUUUCCUCUUUUUUUUCUUCUUCUUCUUUGAUCGACUUGGAGCAUUUACGAGGCGAAGUUGACGGUUUAUAGAUUGCGAUGAACUUGUUAAUAGAUUUUGGAAAUUGAUAAUAAUGUAACAGCGUUGCUAGAUUCUUCAAUUGUUCUCGCUGUUUCGUGUUUUAACUUUGUACAAGCAGAAAGAAGAUGUGCAUUUAUAAUUUACAUACGUUUUGUAUAAAUUGGAGAAAAUUAAUUUUAAAAAAUAGAGAACAAUUAAAUUUUAAGAGAUAGAGAACAAUUGAAUUUUAAGAGACAGAGAACAGUUGAAUUUUAAGAGACAGAGAACAAUUGAAUUUUAAAAGACAGAGAACAAAUUAAUUUUCAAAGGCAGAGAACAAACAAAUUUCUGAAGCAAGAGAAAAAAGCGAACGACGCCAAGAAUUAAUAAAUUCCGUCCAAAAUCGUUGCAACGAAUUUAAGCAGGAGCUUUGGCACGAAUUUUGGGAAAUUCCGAAAUUCGUGGAAUGACUUGGUGAUUACGAAACGCCUUUGCAUAGAUAUUCGAUUACGGCUUUUGGAAUGAUGAAGUCGCUAAUUUCGUCGGCGUCGUCGGUUUUGUUUCUCGUCGGUUGUUUUAGCGUGUUCGAAGAACCAUUGAAUUUCUUUUGUUGUUAGGUGGAAAGAAGAAUUCAGUAUCAUUGUCCCGGUGUACAUGUCCGGUAACACGAAGACGCUCUUGGAGACGCCGCAAACUCGUCACCGGACCUUGACAGAUGGCAACACAACGUGUCUGUUGCGGUUGUGUGAGAGAAUCCAUUGGAAAAACCCACAUCGAAUAGGAGAGCCGGGGUUCGACUCUUUAUGGGAUAAGGAUGAACAUGCAAAAGAAGCGUCCGUCGCGUCUAUCGUGUAGACGAGAACACAAAGAAUACAAUAAGUUUGAAUUAUUAACACUAAACCUGCCGCGCGUUAAUAACAGCCGCUGACUACGACUCGUGAAAUAUGCCAGGAUUAGUUGAAACUCGCGAUCAUUCUUUAUGGAUGUCCAAUAGUUUCGAUAAAUUAUGAUGCGAUCAAUUUAA